GUAGGUGGCAAGCGUUGUCCGGAAUUAUUGGGCGUAAAGCGCGCGCAGGUGGUUCUUUAAGUCUGAUGUGAAAGCCCCCGGCUCAACCGGGGAGGGUCAUUGGAAACUGGGGAACUUGAGUGCAGGAGAGGAAAGUGGAAUUCCACGUGUAGCGGUGAAAUGCGUAGAUAUGUGGAGGAACACCAGUGGCGAAGGCGACUUUCUGGCCUGUAACUGACACUGAGGCGCGAAAGCGUGGGGAGCAAACAGGAUUAGAUACCCUGGUAGUCCACGCCGUAAACGAUGAGUGCUAAGUGUUGGGGGGGUUUCCCGCCCCCCUCAGCGCUGCAGCUAACGCAUUAAGCACUCCGCCUGGGGAGUACGGCCGCAAGACUG
rnacentral:rRNA from 1 species